AGAAUUGAUCUGGUCAGGAUUAACGCUGGCGGCGUAGCCUAACACAUGCAAGUCGAACGAAAUAUCUUCGGAUAUUAGUGGCGAACGGGUGAGUAAUGUACAGGUAAUGUACCUUCGUACUGCGAAUAACAAGCUGAAAAGUUUGCUAAUACGGAAUAGUUUCAUUAGGGGGCAUCCUUUGAUGAAUAAAGAUUUAUCGUGCGGAGAUCAGCCUGUAUCCUAUUAGUUAGUUGGUGGGGUAAUGGCCUACCAAGACGACGAUGGGUAACUGGUCUGAGAGGAUGAGCAGUCACAUUGGAACUGAGAUACGGUCCAAACUCCUACGGGAGGCAGCAGUGAGGAAUUUUGCGCAAUGGGGGAAACCCUGACGCCAGCAACGCCGCGUGAGUGAAGACGGCCUUCGGGUUGUAAAGCUCUGUCGUGUAUGACGAGUAGGGACGGUAAUACACAAGGAAGCCUCGGCUAACUACGUGCCAGCCGCCGC
rnacentral:rRNA from 1 species